UACGGAGGGUGCAAGCGUUGUCCGGAUUUAUUGGGUUUAAAGGGUGCGUAGGUGGCAUUAUAAGUCAGUGGUGAAAUCUUGCGGCUUAACCGUAAAACUGCCAUUGAUACUGUAGUGCUUGAGUCCAUUCGAGGUGGUUGGAAUGCGUAGUGUAGCGGUGAAAUGCAUAGAUAUUACGCAGAACACCAAUUGCGAAGGCAGAUCACUGGGAUGGUACUGACACUGAUGCACGAAAGCGUGGGGAGCGAACAGG
rnacentral:rRNA from 1 species